AGAGUUUGAUCCUGGCUCAGAACGAACGCUGGCGGUAUGCUUAACACAUGCAAGUCGAACGCGAAAGUUUCUUCGGAAUCGAGUAGAGUGGCGCACGGGUGAGUAACACGUAGAUAACCUGCCCUUCAGUCCGGGACAACCUUCUGAAAAGGGGGCUAAUACUGGAUAAUACUUUUAGGCGAGUGUUUUUAAGUUAAAAGAUUUAUUGCUGGGGGAUGGGUCUGCGCACCAUUAGCUAGUUGGGGAGGUAACGGCUCACCAAGGCGACGAUGGUUAGCGGGUCUGAGAGGAUGGUCCGCCACACUGGAACUGAGACACGGUCCAGACUCCUACGGGAGGCAGCAGUGGGGAAUUUUGCGCAAUGGGCGUAAGCCUGACGCAGCAAUACCGCGUGAGUGAAGAAGGCCUUUGGGUCGUAAAGCUCUUUUUUCAGGGAAGAUAAUGACGGUACCUGAAGAAUAAGCGCCGGCUAACUCCGUGCCAGCAGCCGCGGUAAUACGGAGGGCGCGAGCGUUGUUCGGAUUUACUGGGCGUAAAGGGCGCGUAGGCGGCAUAACAAGCUAAGGGUGAAAUCCCGGGGCUCAACCCCGGAACUGUUCUUAGAACUGUUAAGCUAGAGAUAGUUAGAGGCGGGUGGAAUUCCUGGUGUAGAGGUGAAAUUCGUAGAUAUCAGGAGGAACACCGGAGGCGAAGGCGACCCGCUGGGACUAUUCUGACGCUGAUGCGCGAAAGCGUGGGGAGCGAACGGGAUUAGAUACCCCGGCAGUCCACGCCGUAAACGAUGAAUACCAGCUGUUUGGGAAAUCGACCUUCCAAGUGGCGCAGCUAACGCGAUGAGUAUUCCGCCUGGGGAUUACGGUCGCAAGACUAAAACUCAAAGGAAUUGACGGGGGCCCGCACAAGCGGUGGAGCAUGUGGUUUAAUUCGACGCAACGCGAAGAACCUUACCUGGGUUUGACAUCCCCUGCUAGUCACAGAGAUGUGAUUUUCUCUUCGGAGACAGGGUGACAGGUGCUGCAUGGCUGUCGUCAGCUCGUGUCGUGAGAUGUUGGGUUAAGUCCCGCAACGAGCGCAACCCUUGUCCUUAGUUGCCAGCGAUUCGGUCGGGAACUCUAAGGAGACUGCCGGUGUUAAGCCGGAGGAAGGUGGGGAUGACGUCAAGUCCUCAUGGCCUUUAUAUCCAGGGCUACACACGUGCUACAAUGGUGACUACAAAGAGUUGCGAAGCCGCGAGGUGGAGCUAAUCUCAAAAAAGUCAUCUCAGUUCGGAUUGCAGUCUGCAACUCGGCUGCAUGAAGUUGGAAUCGCUAGUAAUCGUAGAUCAGCGUGCUACGGUGAAUACGUUCCCGGGCCUUGUACACACCGCCCGUCACACCAUGGGAGUUGAUAUUAGCAGAAUACAUUGAGCUAACUUUCGAGAGGCAGGUGUAGAAACUAGUGUUGAUGACUGGGGUGAAGUCGUAACAAGGUA
rnacentral:rRNA from 1 species